CUUAGUUGAGUUGAGUUAAGUUGAACACUAAAUUCCAUAAAAUUGUAAUAUGAUAUUUGUGUUUUCUUGACAAUGAGUGCAGAGCAAUGGAGAAUGGUAUGUUUCCUAACAUGAGCAUUAGACAAGAAAAGGGGAUGGGUCAACCAAAAAUGACCGGAGUGGUAAAAAAUGAUUAAAUAUCACAGAAAUUUAUGUAAAGCAGUGUUAAUGGAGGAAAAUUGUCAUGUAAUCUAUCCUAACUAGUUCUUGAGUUUCAACUAAGACUUAGUUGAGUAUAUCCAAGUGAUAAACAGUAAAUUCUGCUAUUAGCAUAUUCUAGGAAUACAAAAAGGUAUUGGAAUGCUUGUCGUGGGGAAAAUCACUAUUGAACUAUUCAAACUCUUCUUGGAUUUUCAGUUGUGAUAUUCACUGAUGCUUCAUCCUUGUAGAACUGAUCAUAGCCCCAGCAUGGAGAAGUGACAAAUGACAAUCAUGCAUUAUUGUUAUUUUCUUUUGUUCAGUUGCUAUUCAUUAAAAUGUCAAAUGGGUGCCAGCCCAUGCUCCACACAAAAAUGGAAAAAGAGGGUGAGAGGGAGAAAGAGGAAGCCAAAUAAAAAAUAUAACUUAGGGCCUUCAUUGAAACAAAAAAAUAUUUGAUGGUGAUAUCUUUUUCAGCUACUGACCUUUUCCUCUAUCCUAGUAAUCUUGGGCUUGAUUCUGUUCAGGUUUUACUUGGAAGAUCU
rnacentral:misc_RNA from 1 species